UACGGAGGGUGCAAACGUUGCUCGGAAUCAUUGGGCGUAAAGCGCACGUAGGCGGUUCGUUAAGUCGGAUGUGAAAGCCCUGGGCUCAACCCAGGAAGAGCAUUCGAAACUGGCGGACUGGAGUAUGGAAGAGGGUCGCGGAAUUCCCGGUGUAGAGGUGAAAUUCGUAGAUAUCGGGAGGAACACCAGUGGCGAAGGCGGCGACCUGGGCCAAUACUGACGCUGAGGUGCGAAAGCGUGGGGAGCAAAC
rnacentral:rRNA from 1 species